rnacentral:rRNA from 1 species
UACGUAUGUGGCGAGCGUUGUUCGGAAUCACUGGGCAUAAAGAGUUCGUAGGCGGAUGCGUCAGUUGGGUGUGAAAUCCCGAGGCUUACCCUCGGAACUGCACUCAAUACUGCGUAUCUGGAGUCCUUCAGGGGUAAGUGGAAUUCCAUGUGUAGCGGUGAAAUGCGUAGAUAUAUGGGAGAACGCCAAUGGCGAAGGCAGCUUACUGGGGAGUGACUGACGCUGAGGAACGAAAGUUAGGGUAUCGAACGGG